rnacentral:rRNA from 1 species
GAACCUUCGGGGGACGAUAACGGCGUCGAGCGGCGGACGGGUGAGUAAUGCCUAGGAAAUUGCCCUGAUGUGGGGGAUAACCAUUGGAAACGAUGGCUAAUACCGCAUGAUGCCUACGGGCCAAAGAGGGGGACCUUCGGGCCUCUCGCGUCAGGAUAUGCCUAGGUGGGAUUAGCUAGUUGGUGAGGUAAGGGCUCACCAAGGCGACGAUCCCUAGCUGGUCUGAGAGGAUGAUCAGCCACACUGGAACUGAGACACGGUCCAG